rnacentral:sRNA from 1 species
GCUGGGUGUGGUGGCGCAUGCCUGUAAUCCCAGCUACUCAGGAGGCUGAGACAGGAGAAUCGCUUGAACCCAGGAGGCAGAGGUUGCAGUGAGCUGAGAUCGCGCCACUGCACUCCAGCCUGGGUGACAGAGUGAGACUCCAUCUCAA